rnacentral:piRNA from 1 species
UAGAAUAGGCUGUGAGCCAAGGAGAC